UCGCAGUUAGUGAUGCUCUUAUUCAAGUGGUUUUGGUUUGGCUGCCUCUGACACUUUAUUCCAUGUUGCCUAAUAGUUUUAAAAGCCCCUAUUUUAUAGUCAGUGCAUCUUUCUGUGGGUCCCCAGAGAAGGGAAGACUGUGAGAUCAUAAUGCCUGGUUAUGGCAAAAAGACCGCAAUUCCCACCAGAGAGCAAAAAGGAAGUAAAGCUACCAUUGUUGAUCUGAAACUAAAUGGAUUCUUGUCCGUUGUGAGGAGCAGCAGCCUACAAAGCACACUGAAUGCCAAAUGUGUUGCACCAGGGCUACAGGUCUGGCUCCUUCAUACCUGCACUGUACUAUAAUGCACAGAUGUUUACACUGGUCUUCCUUAAGUAGAAAAAAAAUUAAAGAGGAAGUGAACGAUUUUCUUCUAGCUUUCUGUAGGGCUAAGGGAACACUUAGGCUUGAAUGGGGCAGAGAAGUCAAGAACUAGAAGAAAACAACAAUAAUAAAAGUUAACAUUUUUUGCAUUCUUACUUUGUGCUGGACGCUAUUCUAAGCUUCUCCUAUGAAUUAUCUCAGUUACUGUCCCCAACAGCCCCAUGAGGUAGGUAUUACUACUCUCCCUGGUUUACAGAUGUGCAAACCAAUGCGCAAGAAGUAUCCUGUCCAAGGGCACACAUUUGGGGAUUGGCAAAGCUAGGAUUUAAGCUCUGGAAUUUUGGCCCUCAAACCUGAACUUUUAACUCCUUGUCCACACAGGGAAGGAAAUUAAAAAGAGAAACUUUCAUGCUCAAGCUUCUACGUGUCCUAUGUGACCAAACUUGAGAUCUUAAGCUGCAGGUUCGCUGGGAUUUCCAUCAUCCCAGGCUGGCUCUUCAUCCACAGACUAGGGUGCUUGGAGAAUGAAAAGAGACUCACAAGAAGCAAAGCCAUGAAACUGAUAAAGGCAUCUGUUUUUCUAAUGCUUUUUCAUAAACAUACUCAUUCCUCUAUAAUUUCAAAUAUACAGCUUUCUCCAAAACUCCCUCUACAGCUCAAAGUCUGCUGAAGCCCAGAUUUUG
rnacentral:lncRNA from 1 species